AAGAACGGUACAGAUAUGCCCCCGUCCUCUCCCCUUCCCUCCCCUCCUUGUACCCUACGUCUCAACCCCUCCUCUCCCAAUCUCACUGCCGCUGUCGUCACCGCAAGAGAGAGAUGGAUAUGGUCUAUCAAAAAUGCGAGGACGGUCGGGGUGAGUCGCGAACACAUCACAGGGAGUUGAGCCACCCUCGAACCAGUUAACAUCGUCUUCACCUUUGCAGGCAAUUGACCAUGUCGUCAGCAAUAUCUUCCAUGAUCUGUUCGUCUCGCGCUAGAGAUGGGGGAGGUGGCGGAAAAGGAAGAGCGACGGCUCUUGGAGGGGAAGGAGGAGAUGGUAACCGGCACGGCUCCUCCGGCCAGGAAGACGCGAGCACUCCGCUUCGAGCAUAUCGACUUGCAUGGUGGAUGAGUCCUCUCCAACGGUGGUGUUAGAGUCGAGCGCUUGACUCUUCUUGCUCUUGAUUAUUCAGUUGCUCUGAAUUAGUGUAAAUUGGGAUGCUUUUGGCCGCCAUAAUGAUGGAGGCCAGGAAGGGUUUGAUGAAGAGGGAGAGGGAAAGGGAUCAGCUCCCAGUCGGCAUGCAGGCCCUGGCCGUCGAUGAUGACCCCGUGUGCCUCAAAGUUCUGAUGGUCCUCCUCCGAUGCUGCCAGUAUCAUGGUUAGAGCCUGCUUGCACUUCAUUGUGUAUAUUUUUUAUAAGAAACUUCAUUAUGUUGUAUUAUUACUCCCACGAGCAACCUCAGUCGCAUCAUCAUCUUCAAGGCCAAGAUCGAAGUUUCUCCUGCCCUUCAGGCCCUUUGCCAUCAUGCUCCACUACAUCUCCAUAAACAACACUAAUCACACUCAUAAAUUAAUUUCCAGUAUACAACAGAGUUGUACAGUACGACUUGCAUUUUCAUGUUGCUUCAUAGCAACGAUGAGUUCUCUCUUUGUGUUCACACCAUUUGGUGGGAGAUUGGAAUGUGCAACCAAGUAAAUGCCAGUGAUUUGACUUGGAUCUUCAAUUGGUUACACAUAAAAUUGUCUGACCUUAUGUAUGUUCUGCGCCUCGUCUUGUGGAGGCAUCUUGGUUGCUACCUUGGUCCAACACGUAUGUGUUUUGUUUUGAUUCCAUCAUAACCUUCCAAUUUAAAUAUUGGCUUCAGCUUAUCAUGAAAGAUUUGACCUUUUCCAAAUGCAGUCAGGGCCCGGGGGCACUUCUAAAUGCUACUGGAAAUGUGACGAAGAAAAUUAUUUCAGUAUGCACCGGAUAAUGGAAUGAUUUUUGCCAUCCAGCAGCCACUACUAGGAUCUAUAUUGUCAAAAAUAUUGUUAAUAUGGUGAUGUGCUUCCUUUGAUGGCGGGCUUGCCCAUCCUGACAAUAAAAACAGUUGCUAUUUUGCACAAUAUAUUUCCAAUGAAAUCCACAUAUUUUAUCUCUGUAUAGCCUUCCUUUGAUGGUUUGGUUCAGCCUAAAUGUUGGCGCACUAUGGAAAAUUUGAAGCUCCUCUUUCAAGAUCCAAGGAAUUCAAGGUGCAUAUCUUCGACAAGCUAAGUGGGAUUACGGCUCAUGUACUCAUCAACCAUAAUCUCCCGAGACUUGAGGAAGCACGUCUCCUAUCCUUGUUUUGAUUCCAAGCUCCAGGUGCUUUCUGACAUGCAUGUUUCGAAAUUCCGUCACAUAGUUCAUGACUAUACUGGAAUUAGUUAAUCCUCUUAGAAAGCAAAAAAGAAAAAAUUAUAGCAUAAAUGCGUUCUCUAUUAAAUCUUGUCCUUUUAAACAUUGUUGUUUGAAUUAAUAGACAUGUAGCAUUUAUGAAAUCACUUGUUCAGUAUACUCGGUUGAAGCCUGAUUCACAAAUUAGUUGAGCCAAAUUAAUACUAAGAAAAUAGAAUAAGAUGAUGGUCUGUUUGUUGUACCAAUUCAAAAAAAUUAUAGUUUUUCUCUGUCCACAUAAAUUAAAUUGGCCACCCUCAAUCGUUAAAAGCCUCAUUGUAUGAUUAAGGGUUCAUGUAAAGAUUAAGUUUGUGUGCAUGUCCAUGACAUAUGGCAUUGCAUGGCCCUGCUGCAAAUUCAAAUUAACCUUUAGUUAAGCUUUUCAAGUCAGUCUAUACGUAUUUUAACUUUAAUGCAUUAUGACUUCAUAUUUUUAGAGAAAAUUCUACCAUUUUACCCCAAAAAAUGACAGGCGUAGCAACGCGCGCCAACAUGGUAGUUCUUGUGUGUGACCAGGUCCCAAUAAUGCUCCUACCUGAGAAUGAUCCAAAUGCAGCCCUUACUAUGAUUGCCACUGGACACUGUGUUGCUCCCUACUAUAUAUGGAUACCUAAGCAUGUAUGUUCAGCGGAGAUCUUCCCAAAUUACAGAGUUCGUGGCCUGUUUUGGCUCUUGGUGUGGUUAAUCCCGACAACCUUUUUGAUGAAUAAUUUUCAUACCAACUUAAGGAGCAUCCAGACAAAUUCAGGUUAUUACUUACUAGUGAGAGGAGUAUCUUUCAUAAAAAGGGAGACAUUCAUGAAACAAAUCAUUUUAGUCUAUUUUAGCAUUUUCCA